rnacentral:rRNA from 1 species
AGUGAACGCUGGCGGUAGGCCUAACACAUGCAAGUCGAACGGCAGCACAGUAAGAGCUUGCUCUUACGGGUGGCGAGUGGCGGACGGGUGAGGAAUACAUCGGAAUCUACUUUUUCGUGGGGGAUAACGUAGGGAAACUUACGCUAAUACCGCAUACGACCUACAGGUGAAAGCAGGGGAUCUUCGGACCUUGCGCGAUUGAAUGAGCCGAUGUCGGAUUAGCUAGUUGGCGGGGUAAAGGCCCACCAAGGCGACGAUCCGUAGCUGGUCUGAGAGGAUGAUCAGCCACACUGGAACUGAGACACGGUCCAGACUCCUACGGGAGGCAGCAGUGGGGAAUAUCGGACAAUGGGCGCAAGCCUGAUCCAGCCAUACCGCGUGGGUGAAGAAGGCCUUCGGGUUGUAAAGCCCUUUUGUUGGGAAAGAAAAGCAGCAGGUUAAUACCCCGCUGUUCUGACGGUACCCAAAGAAUAAGCACCGGCUAACUUCGUG